rnacentral:rRNA from 1 species
GGACUACCGGGGUUUCUAAUCCUGUUUGAUCCCCACGCUUUCGUGCCUCAGCGUCAAUAUUUGUGUAGCCAGCUGCCUUCGCAAUUGGUGUUCUAGGUCAUAUCUAAGCAUUUCACCGCUACAUGAACUAUUCCGCUAACCUCCACAACAUUCAAGACUUAUAGUAUCCAUGGCAGUUUCCGGGUUAAGCCCGGAGAUUUCACCACGGACUUACAAGUCCGCCUACGCACCCUUUAAACCCAGUGAAUCCGGAUAACGCUUGCACCCUCCGUAUUACCGCGGCUGCUGGCAC